rnacentral:lncRNA from 1 species
UGAGCAGGCUGCUUUUGCUCCUAAGUCGCCAACAGCUGUCUGUGAGACCCCAGACAGCUAGAAAGGCUGUCAGCCCCUUCUUGGGAACCUUUGGAGUCAUCAUUUAAGAAAGAGUUCGGAAACCACUAGUCAGUGACAGCCACCAAGAGGACUCUGCAUUUUGACCUCCUCAACAUCUAUGCUGUUUUGUUUAUUUUCCCCGCAGUGAUUGACAGUUGAACACUUCACUUUAAGAAAAAGGCCUUGUGAUCUGUUUCAUGGACAAGAAUGAUAAAGAAAAAACAAAACAAAACAAAACAGCUCCCAUUCCCCUGUCAACCAGCAGGGCUGCCGGAAACCUGAGAUAGAGAAGCGGGUGCUGGCAACACGGGAGAAGCAGAAUCCGGAUGGAGCCUGAGACAGGGAGAAAGGAAGGGCUUUUGAGGCUGAGAGAAGGGUAUCCACAGAGGCAUGGAGCCAGGGCCAACAGGAACCUGGUAGGUGUGUCCCCAAGAGGGACCACUCUGUGCUUGACUUGGGCCUGGCAUGAAGCUGGCCUCAGCAAAUGGGUGAGGAGCUCGAUGGGCGACACUGCCGGGAGACUCCAGGGCAGAGAAAGAGGAGACUCAGUUGGGGCACGUGGACCCUGGUGUCGGAGCACCUGGGAAACACCUUCUGUGACCUCCAGGACGAGCUGGAGAGACAAAGAGCCCAGAAAUACUGACCCACCGUCUCCAGACCUCAGAGCUGGAUGCUAAAUGAACCCAGGCUCCGAGCUCCCUGCUCAGGGUCUGUGCCACCCUGCUCUGAGAUUCCUAACUGCUCAUCUCAAGCUGGUUGGGAAAGGGGUAGUAGAGGAAAGCUAGCCUCCUGGAAGGCCUUCCACCCUCCCAAGACUCAGAGCCGCACCCUGGCACGGCUUCCAGCCAUUUCUGCCUUCUUCUACUUACCAAAGGAAAAAAUACUGAUUGUAAACAUCACUUUAAAAGCAUGCCAUCCGACAGCCGGCUCAGCUGCAAUACAUCAGCCUGAAUUGUACUCAUUUAUGGUGAAGCAUUUUAUAUUAAUGUUUUCAUUGCUUAUCACAGACACUGGCUUUAAAGUGCUUAAGCCAGCUGUACUGAGUUAUUU